GGGUAAUCUGGUUGUGACAUCUGUAGCCCAUUGAUCACCAGGGUUGACCUGGGCUUAUAUGCCUAGCCAAGCAGGUGUUCCCUUCCUUGUUCACUGCUGUACUGAAGAGGAUGACCUCCACGAACAGCGGACUCUCUUCAGACAUGGAUUUAAGUGUAGCUGUUUCUCUAUGUGACAGCCUUAAGAAGUUCUUGGGCUGGAGAGAUGGCCCAGAGGUUAAGAGCACUGUCUGCUCUUCUAA
rnacentral:snRNA from 1 species